rnacentral:rRNA from 1 species
AGGCAGCAGUGGGGAAUCUUCCGCAAUGGGCGAAAGCCUGACGGAGCAACGCCGCGUGAUCGAAUGAAGGCCUUCGGGUUGUAAAGAUCUGUUGACAGGGACGAAUAAGCAAUGCGAAUAGUUUUGUGUAUGACGGUACCUGUUUAGAAAGCUCCGGCUAACUACGUGCCAGCAGCCGCGGUAAUACGUAGGGAGCAAGCGUUGUCCGGAAUUACUGGGCGUAAAGGGCGCGUAGGUGGGCGCUUAAGUCAGGUGUGAAAACUCCGGGCUCAACCUGGAGACUGCACUUGAAACUGGGUGUCUUGAGGGCAGGAGAGGAAAGUGGAAUUCCUAGUGUAGCGGUGAAAUGCGUAGAUAUUAGGAGGAACACCAGUGGCGAAGGCGACUUUCUGGACUGUACCUGACGCUGAGGCGCGAAAGCGUGGGUAGCGAACGGGAUUAGAUACCCCGGUAGUCCACGCCGUAAACGAUGAAUACUAGGUGUAGGAGGUAUCGACUCCUUCU